AAAUUGAAGAGUUUGAUCAUGGCUCAGAUUGAACGCUGGCGGCAGGCCUAACACAUGCAAGUCGAACGGUAACAGGAAACAGCUUGCUGUUUUGCUGACGAGUGGCGGACGGGUGAGUAAUGUCUGGGAAACUGCCUGAUGGAGGGGGAUAACUACUGGAAACGGUAGCUAAUACCGCAU
rnacentral:rRNA from 1 species